rnacentral:lncRNA from 1 species
AAGCUUUACCCUUGAACUCUGAAGUGCUUUCCUAUAUGUGGUUGGGGGAAAGGGAACAAAUAUUAUUUUAAUUUGUACGAUGAGCAAAGGUAUCACCAGUGUAAAUCAUUAUUCUGCAAUCCACACACAGGUUUGGACAUUACUGUUUUGCAUAUCUUGUGUUCACUUCCGUUUCCCUCCAUUUUUCCAAAACUAUACAAGAAGUAUAUCCAUCCUACAACUUGCUUUGAGAGACCAGGACAUGUCUUAAUCCUGUCUUCAUUCUAUCCACUCUGCUCCAGUUGAUUGGGACUUGGUCUCGGGACAGUCCUGCCCCGUGAGCAUCCCCCAUGGGAGAGGUGGCUGGCUUUUCUGUUCACUUCCACUGCGUGAACUUGCCUCGGUGGCCUCCUCAGGAAAGCGCACACUGAAUGAGAGGAUGAGCUAGAGUCGGGCUGGCUGGAGGGAAGGGAAUCCUCCCUCUGGCAACUGCUCUACCCAAACUCAGAUAGCAGGGGCCAGAGAACAGCAACCAGGUAAAAGCUUUGUCCAUCCCAAAGUCAGCUCUGUCUCAUUCACUUCAUCCUCUCCUUGCUCUGGAGCAGGAUUUCCUCCAGGUCUCCCCUAAUGUGCAUGGCAGACAGGGAGAGGACUGGGACCAGGACUGGGGAGGACACGUCAGGAGUUCGCAGUGAUAAUGGAACCAGAGACACUGUGGGAGCAUCUCUUACGCCUAUUUGCGUCUACCUAGAACGUCAUCCUAUCCAUGCUGUUUCCUUCAAAUAGAUUUCAACAAUGAUGGUUGAAAAGGGAGUGAUUUAGGGAAAACAGGACCCAAACAUUCAUCUAGGAUUUACCCAGGGAAUGUCUUCCAGUGCCAGUAUGUUCCCAGCCCUUUACAGGAGCGACCUACUUGGGACAAGUGAAGAUGAGUUUCACUUUUAAGGACUGAUUCAUGAAAAAGUGGAGAAAUACGCUGAAUGUUCCCAGGUACACUAACAGUGUAGAAGCAGAAGGGUUUCUCCCUGUUUCUCCAAGACUAAACCCUCCAAACUUCUUUGGUUCCUUUUCAGUGCCAUGAGGCCUUCUAGAAAUUACAGUUAGGUGUCAUCUUUGUCCAGUUUUCCAAGAUACCUACCACCGUUCUGCUAAGAUUUUAGUUGUGAUGGAGAGCGAAGCCCUUUUGGAUUGAUAACUGAUUCUUGCUAUACAUGUGGUCCCUAGAUAGAAAUUUGGCAUCUUAACUGACCACAGACACAAACACAUACACACACACACACACACACACACACACCACUCACACCACUCACACAUUCACUCAAACUUUCAUGCUGCUUUCUUUUUUCCCUUUGGACUUGUCUUCUGCAUCACCAAAUCUCAUUGGCCAGUGGCAUGGGCUACACGCUGGGCUUAUGCCAGCUACCCCUAAGGCCCUGCCUAAGUGUGCCCCCUUGCCCUCCACCACUCACACCUACAGAGUCCCUUCUUUCUAGUCAGCUCUGUCAGAAGGUCAGCUGGUCUUGCACCCUACAAGAGCAAAAUCAGCAGUGCCAAGGGAACCUGGCCCUGUGCUGCUGGCAAGGAAAGGAGUUUUAGAUGGGAGUUCCCUGUGGAGGGUGAUGGGUCUCUAUGGCCUGACCUCAUGAUCAACUGGUAUGGUACUGACAGAGGAUACCUGUCAUCAUGGGUGCCUAGGUGGGUCAGUCAGCUAAGCAUCUGCCUUUGGCUCAGGUCAUGAUCCCAGGGUCCUAGGAUCAAGUCCUGCAUCUGCUCCCUGCUGAGCAGAGAAUCUGCUCCUCUGUCUCCCUCUGCCCCUCCUCCCCUUCUCAUUCUGUCUCUUUCUCUCUCUUUCUUAGAGAAAAAUUUUUUAAAAAUAACUUGUUUUUAUUUCUCUCUUUCUUAGCUCUCUCUCUCUAAUAUAUAAAUAAAAUCUUUAAAAAAAGAUACCUGUCAUCAUGACAGAUGGAUAAAAUGAUUCAUAAAAUCACAAACCUCACCCCCUGUGUAUUAAGUGAUAUCUGCCCCCCACCUAGAGCAGAACUUUGCCUAUGACCUUGUAAAACAUAACCAUCAAGUCUUCUGAGAACUUGUGAGUGGCAAAGAGAAAGCAGCCAAUGGCUGAGGACCAAAAGGACCUGAAGAAGUGCAGUGUAAGCUCUGAGAGCAUGAUUUUUAUUUUUCAUCUGAAUGGCUUAUUGUAUUUCUACACUUUGGCCUUUUAAUAGUCAUGUGUCUGGCUAUAUUAAACAGGGAGAUUUUCAGUUGUCUUCUUUCUGCCUGUUUCUAGAAGUUUCUUUUGGUCUUGAGGCAUAAAGAGAAGAAAGUUUUCCUAGAUUUUGGCUUGAACCAUGAAUUUUUCUCUGCUCUGCUUCAAAGAUUAUUAGUCAUAAUCCCUCCCAUCACCUUCUGAGUCUAACAGGCUGCCCUCUGACUGGGAGGUCCAAGGACAAAGGAACAAGACUUCCUUACUCUGUCUUUAUCCUGCGACCCUGCUUCUUCCGGGGCUUGUCUGGAGUGAAGCUAUCAGUUUCUCACAAAUAUUUUCCUUCCAGAUUAUCUCCUGAUCAUUAAGCUAUAGAUAGUAAGACAACCACAGGAGAAGGAUCCCAUUCAAUGCCUGAGACAUAAGAACACCCUGAAAAUGAGGAGUUUGGAAGUCAUCAAAAGGGUUUCGUAGAGGCCAUUUGAUACCUACCCAUCAUUCCUAAAGGUCAAGAUGUGUAACAAGAACCUAAUUUAGGCAUACAGAGUAAGUCUGGUAGUCAGGCUUUUAGCCUCAUCAAACCAUAAUUAUAAAUUUUGCUGAAGAGGAUAAUGGCAUCUCCAUCCUGAGGGACCUGGGGAAAAAAUGAAAUAUCAUUGUCUAAGAGUUAGAAACCCUUUAGCAAAGAGGCCACAAAAGGGCAAUUUGUUUUCAAGAGACCCAUUUAAGCCCCAAUUUAGUAAAACACUCGCUGAUAAGAGCCCAGGUCAGUUCAUAGUGAAGCUCUUGGUCACCACAUCCAGGUUCCUCAUCAGCUCCCUCUGAAGAGACAUAAGGAAAAGAGACAAGGAAACGAAGUGUCCUACAACUAUCAGGGAUGGCAUAGUUUUUCCCUUUCCCCAAGCCAUUCUCUCUAUUCCAGCCUCCUGCCCAACCCCCACUUUCCUUUCCUCCCCUCAGUCUUGUCAGAACAGGGAGUUGGGAGUAGUCCAAUAUGCAGAUUCUUAAAUAGUUUAUGAAGCUAGUUCUGGUUUUAACUUUUUUUUAUUUCAAAGCAAUGAAACCUUGCUUUGUGAAGCCAGAUACCAAUGUAGCAAGUGGUUUCUGCCAGACUUCCACAUGGUUGGAACACACUUGAACACCACACAUACACACACACUCAUACACACUUUCAUCCUCAUACACACACACACACACACACACACACACACACUUCCUUAACAGACAGGUGCAGGUGCUGGGGUUGAGCCCUGCACAAAUGAUAUUGUCCUCCCAAAGGGCUGAGCACUGUAUAGAGAGAUGUGGAGAGAGGACCAGAGUAACUUCCUUGAGUAGAAAUAGUGCCAUCGGGCCCUAUUAUUACUGUGAACUAAAUAUUAUUUAUCUACAUUGAGAGAUACAACUACAUCUACAAUCAGACUUUUCCCUCACAUGAUUUUAAGAGGCUUGCUCCAGAAAAGAUGCAGUGGUAGAUUCUUCAGCUCUCCGAUAUACUGGAAAAGCCCUUUGAUCAGUCUCUGAAAGGGAAUUAGAGAUUGCCAGCAAAAUAUAUUGAGCUGAGUUGAACAAAUCAAUUCAACACUGAGAGUAGAGUCAAGAGUUGGGACUUCCACAGAACUCCCCUCAGUCUCCACUAAAUUAAGGAAGACAAAAGACAAAGACUAGAUAAUUAAACAAAAGCUUGAAAUGUUACAUCACCAGAGUCAAAUAUUCUCCCUUCAGAUUGCAUACUGGCCUCUUCAUAGCUGUACCGUCUUUUGGAGGGCGUCCCAUGCAUCCGACUUUCCAGAAUCUAAUCUGACUUGAUAAGGUUCCUAGAAAGGGCAACAUGACAUUUAAUCUACCCUAAAUCCAACAUUUACUAUAAAUUUGCCAUCUAAAAAUCAUUGGUGUACCUCAUACAUAAGAAAGUGUUUCACCUAUGUCAUUAUUAAAGAGGUCUCUUGGUGAAGAGGUUGUAAAUCUUAAGGGAGGGUAAUUUCUAUGUGAAGAAACACAGAAAUGGACAGGAUUUUUCCUAUUCACUGUUUGAGCCUAGAGAACUGUUCUGAUGCUCCUCGAGUGUGUAAGCAGAGGGACGGGAAUGAGCGGGCACCAGCCGGGCAGUGGGUCACUGCUGACGCACGCCGUACUGCAUGCCUGCGGGCCUCAGACACUCUGCAUGCAGUCUCUCCUGAGCCCGCAACCCAGAGAGGAAAGAGAAGGCUCCCUUCUACAGGGUCACAGGAGGAGCAAAAGAGGACAGGUCACUGUGUCCUGUGCCAAACCCCCUCCCCUGAGAUUUCCCA